rnacentral:lncRNA from 1 species
UCAGGGCAUCUGGAGCAAAUAACCUUCGCUGCGAGUGAAACCGCUGGGACCGGCAUUAUCCACCUUUAACACGGUGGUUUCACUUGCAGUCUGCUCUUCCACUACCUUCUCACCGUUACAAUAAACCUCCCCACCAUAAUGCCAAGGCACGACAUCAUCUUUGUCAUAAGGAAUCGGUCCAGGUACCGUGAUGGUAACUGGAGCCGCUUCAGCAAGAUUCGACAAAUCCACCGGGUCGAAAUAGAUCGUUAUGGUGGAGACCUCCUCUUUUC